rnacentral:lncRNA from 1 species
CAAGAAAAUAAUAUACUACUUGCAUAUUCAAGAAAGAAAGUCGCAAAAAAUUAUCAUAUGUUUUGAAAAUGCUUAAAACUCCCAAUUCAUUACGUGUAUGAAUGUAUCAUCUCUCAUUCACCAACCCUUUACAAAUAUCCUAUGGAGGCCAUUGAAGUUGCUAAGGAGGAUACAAAGAAAACAAUGCCUGAACUCUUAGAAGCAAUACAAAAUCUAUAUUCUACAAUGUUCUUGGGAUGACAGUGUCACAAAUGUUGCAAAUGGAAAGGUAGCUGGACGUAGCACUGUAAGGUGUCCAGAAUGGGAGCCAGGUCCUGAUCAUGC